AGCCGUCGCGGGCGAGCGAGGGACGGCGGCAGCCGGAGCGAGGGAGCCCGCGGCGCCGUGACGGGUCGCUCCUCCGACCCACGCGCGGCCGCCGGCCGGCCGUCCGCACGCCUCCCCGCCGAGCCUCCUCUUGUCCCGGACCCCUUGUCCCGGACGAUUCCCGCAACUCGAUCCCACCACCCCGAGCGUGCCGCCGCGUGCCGCCGUCCCCAGCCCACCCGCAGCGCGCCGCCCACGCAGGCGCGCGUCGCUAUUCCCAUCCCUAUCUCCGCGCACCGCCACCCCUAGCCGGACCCGACCCAAUCACAUCGCCAUGGAGUGGUGUCUCCAUCUCCCGACGACGGAGCAGCACCUCCCCGACAGCGCGCCUACCACCGACGAUGAGGAACUCUGCCCCAAGCCUCCUCCCCCCUCCUCACGUCCGGAUGGGCAAGAUCCAGCUGGCGCUGAAGCCUAUCCCACCGGCGCAGCUCCCCGUCGCCAUUGCGCUGCUCCUUCCCCGCGUGUCUCCAGUUCCCCUCGCUGCUCGGAUUGGUGUGCCGUGGUGCCGCCACCCAGGUCAAUUUCAUUCCUUCAGCCCUGCAUCUCCUUGAUGGCUCGUUGGAUCACUUCUACAUAAUCAGUUCUUUGACAUGUGUGUUGCACGGAAGGUGUUUGCAGUAAUGCUUGAGCACAACACCAGCCGUCGCCGCGGUCACUUCGUCCCUGAACUGCCAUGCGCCGCCUGCGGCCUCGCUUCUUCCCCUGUCUUCUGCCCGGGCGAACCCCUUUUUCUCCUCCCAGGCACAGCUGCAACCUCCUUCUCAGUCCAAAUUGAGCGCUGUUUGUCGUACAAGUUGAAUCCCGGCUACAGUCUUCGCCAAAGAAGCCAUCAUCCCUGUUCUGAACUACCAACAGCCUCUGCUAAUGUGCACAAAAUUCAAGUUCAAUAACACAAAAAAUGGAAGGUCAGAUAUGGCACCAAGAUAAGUUAGAAAAAAUGGUUUCAACAUAAUGCAAUUUGGAGGAACGACAGCGCCCAGGCCAUUCACAGCUGCCACCCUAGUCUGUUCACCACCGCCAACCGAGGCCGUUCAAUGACGCUCCGGGCAAAGAAUAUCAAGUAAAUAAGCAACUUCGACAUGCCAAUGGGACCUUUUUAGUAAGUGCUUUGACUACGACUGAUGGUAGUUGGUAUUUUGUGACGUUGCGCUCAGCGGCAGGAGGGCGAGGAUCUCUUCAUCUCGGCAGUACAACUGCACCCUCCGACGCCGUUCACGAGAAGAGCUACGUGCAGGCCACCCGUGCUCCACCCUGGAUUUUUUCAAUAAUCAGGCCAUCGUCGUCAGGGUUCCUGCCCCACGGCAGUCGUAUUGGCUCAUGCACCACUGUCAUCGGUCCUUUUUCGGUUGGAGAUAGGUAGCGCCCCUAGGAAGCCCCUUCUUCAGUGGUUCAUUGGUCUGUCAAGUAUGAAGGUGAGCUUCAUAAUAGAGUAGCUAGACCUAUCUGCCUUCCAUUUUACAAAUUUUGCUGGGAGCUAGAAGUAACUAUAUGUAGAAAGUUGGCAUCUCUGUUUACAUAAACAUGCAUAACACGUGUGAUGCUACAUAAUUCCUGGGUCCUCCUCCUGUUAUGCACAAGCUCCAAUUCGUCGAGAUACUCUAUGGAGGUACUCCAUUUUAUGUUUUCAAUUCAUCUUACAAAAAAGCAGAACAAACUAUGUGUCAUUUUUGUCAUUCACGCAAGUUCAGGCAUACCUUCUGCAAAAGUUCAAAAAUCUGAAGAAACAAAGCUCAAACCAAGUUCAGAAACUGUUUUUGGAUUAAAUUAGUUGUUUUGGUUAAUUAUGUGGUAUAUGUGUGUAUUGUGAUUGUAAUUGUGGCUUGGAGUUGAGAAAAAGAUAACAAAAAGGUACAUAAAUGAACCCAAAAACAUUCGGUAGUUUCUGGAAGCCCAAAGUUGUUCAACAUGUUUUCUACCAUCAGCUCGUUAAGAACCCCAGAAACGGUUCAAUGUGUGUGUUAAAAAAAAUAGCUGGCUAUAUAAAAAAAAUUAGUAGCUAGGCAAAAAGAAGUUUGUAUCAGUUCAGACUUGCCUGCACAGAAGGAUAGAGGCCCUUGUCCCAUACGUUCAGGUUUGCAUCAAUGCUCCAGCCAACUCCAUUAUCUACUCAGUAAAUGCUCCACUGCUAAAUCCAUUUGAAGUUUUGUCAGGUUUGGUAACUCCUCUCCCUUUCCCUUUUCAUGUAAUGCAUUUAGGACAAGUUCAAGUAUAGGUAAAGAAGAUUCUCACCACAUAAAUAUUGAUCUAGAGCUCUUCAGUUUGACAGUUUUUCAGUUCGUGUGGAGCUUGUCAGUUCGACAAUUUUUCAUUUUGUGUGGAGCUAGUCAUUGUUUUAGGUUGCGUCUGGCUGUACCAAAUGCUUGCACUUCUCUGAACUGAGAGUACGCUUGAGUUUCCUGUUCCUUCUAAUCUUAAUAGGUUAUCUUGAUAGGAGUCUAGUGUUAUUUACUAAAUUCUAGUCAGAGUAGUGUAAUCAAAGGAAUGUAGAUAACUUGUGUCCAGGUAUGACUUGUACAAUUGCGUUGUUGUGCUACACACUUGUACUCACAUAUUAUUAUGCUGCGAUACUAGUUCUGAACAUUUUGUUAUGUAUGUCACAUGAAGGUUUCUCCCCAUUCUUCUCGUCUUCAUACUAUGCCUUUCAUACCUUUUUAUAUAAAAAAGCUCAGUCUGAAACUACAGAUUUGCCCAGAGCCUUGACCUAGGACAUUCUGAAUAAAACUUCAAAGAAGUCUGAAAUGCACUUUAGUAUAUAAAGCCUUGUUCAUCAUUGUAUUCUGAUACUAGAAUCUAGAGUAAGAAAUCAAGUUUGUAAUAUGUAGGCACAAGAACAUGACUCCCUACUUGAAAUGAGUACUCUUUUGUUUCAGCUAAUACUUCUUACUCUGAAUUCCAAAAGUGGAUGCACUUAAGUACAACUUAGUAGACUACUAGUUGUACAUCAGUAUGUAAGGACGAUGUAAUUACCACAACCUCAAUGAUUAUAGUAUUUGGGAUGCUCAUCAUUUUUCACAUCCAUCUCUACUGAAUUAUGUUAGUCUUUUUCAGUUCAUCUUUGAAAUUUCGGUCCAUUUUCUUUUUGCAGGAUGCGUCAAAUACUAAAAUAAAAGGCAGCAGCUCAAAUAGAUGAAUAUUGGAAGUCCAUUGCUAUCUUGAGGUCCACAUAGCCGGCAUUUUCAGUUCAUCUUGCAAGUGAUGGGGCUCCCCUUCAGUUCAUCCUGCAGGUGUUUUGGGCAGUACAAAAUACAUCACCAUAGUUAGUACAUCAAGGAUGGCUUGGUAGUCGCUGGGAUUCCCUGCAGUGGCCAAAUCGCCUCCAUCAGCUCCACCUCGCCGUAGCAAUCAGUCCAGAGGAGGAGGUGUAGCUGGUCCACCCGGUCCACCCAAUUUUUCUUUCAACAUUUUCUUUGUGAUGCAUGCUCACUGAUGGAUCAAUAACUAUUUAUUGAUAUGGAGAUGGCCCCCUGUUUUUUUCUGGAAAAACAAGAUGCCUUUGCAUACUUCAAAGUUGCUGCUUGCUCCCACCAGUCAAUUGCAAGUUCAGUGGGUGUCGUCGAGCAUGUUCAGAAGUAUGCCCUUUGUGCAAAAGUGUGAAUUUUUUUUCAGUAUUUUGUAUAUUUCAUUUGGCAGAGGCUUCAUGUGAUCUUGUAGAGCUUUAUAGAUGUACUGUCAUUACACUUUUAAGGCCCUAUAGUUCAUUAUAUCAUACAUGUGUGGCCAUUCAGUAUGUAUUACAGGAUCAGUUCUUGAAAAAUAAGAACACAUACAUAGUUCGGUCAAAAAGAA